rnacentral:rRNA from 1 species
GCAUAUCAAUAAGCGGAGGAAAAGAAACCAACAGGGAUUGCCCUAGUAACGGCGAGUGAAGCGGCAACAGCUCAAAUUUGAAAUCUGGCGUCUUUGGCGUCCGAGUUGUAAUUUGCAGAGGGCGCUUUGGCAUUGGCAGCGGUCCAAGUUCCUUGGAACAGGACGUCACAGAGGGUGAGAAUCCCGUACGUGGUCGCUAGCCUUUACCGUGUAAAGCCCCUUCGACGAGUCGAGUUGUUUGGGAAUGCAGCUCUAAAUGGGAGGUAAAUUUCUUCUAAAGCUAAAUACUGGCCAGAGACCGAUAGCGCACAAGUAGAGUGAUCGAAAGAUGAAAAGCACUUUGGAAAGAGAGUUAAAAAGCACGUGAAAUUGUUGAAAGGGAAGCGCUUGCAGCCAGACUUGCCUGUAGUUGCUCAUCCGGGUUUUUACCCGGUGCACUCUUCUAUAGGCAGGCCAGCAUCAGUUUGGGCGGUUGGAUAAAGGUCUCUGUCAUGUACCUCUCUUCGGGGAGAACUUAUAGGGGAGACGACAUGCAACCAGCCCGGACUGAGGUCCGCGCAUCUGCUAGGAUGCUGGCGUAAUGGCUGUAAGCGGCCCGUCUUGAAACACGGACCAAGGAGUCUAACAUCUAUGCGAGUGUUUGGGUGUCAAGCCCGAACGCGUAAUGAAAGUGAACGGAGGUGGGAACCUUUCGGGGUGCACCAUCGACCGAUCCUGAUGUCUUCGGAUGGAUUUGAGUAAGAGCAUAGCUGUUGGGGACCCGAAAGAUGGUGAACUAUGCUUGAAAUAGGGUGAAGCCAGAGGAAACUCUGGUGGAGGCUCGCAGCGGUUCUGACGUGCAAAUCGAUCGUCAAAUUUGGGCAUAGGGGCGAAAGACUAAUCGAACUAUCUAGUAGCUGGUUCCUGCG